UACACAGUUCUUGUGCCUCUCGCAGCCAUCUGCAUCAUCCUGGUGCACCUGCUGAUCCGGUACCGACUGCACUUCCUGCCUGAGAGUGUGGCUGUUGUUUCUCUAGGUAUUCUCAUGGGAGCAGUUAUAAAAAUUAUAGAGUUUAAAAAGCUGGCAAAUUGGAAGGAAGAAGAAAUGUUUCGCCCCAACAUGUUUUUCCUUCUCUUGCUCCCACCCAUCAUAUUUGAGUCAGGAUAUUCACUGCAUAAGGUAAGGUUCACCUGGAGCUU